rnacentral:rRNA from 1 species
AAAACAUCGCCUCUUGCAAAACUAACGAAUAAGAGGUCCCGCCUGCCCAGUGACUAUGGGUUCAACGGCCGCGGUAUUUUGACCGUGCAAAGGUAGCGCAAUCACUUGUCUUUUAAAUGGAGACCUGUAUGAAUGGCAUCACGAGGGCUUAGCUGUCUCCUUUUUCCAGCCAAUGAAAUUGAUCUUUCCGUGCAGAAGCGGGAAUAAUAACAUAAGACGAGAAGACCCUAUGGAGCUUUAGACACUAAGGCAGAUCACGUCAAACACCCCAGUUUAAUGGGCUGAACUAAGUGAACUCUCCCCUAAUGUCUUUGGUUGGGGCGACCCUGGGGAAAUAAACAACCCCCAUGUGGAAUGGAAACACCAUAUUUCCAGAACUAAGAGCUAACCCCUCUAAGGAGCAGAAUUUCUGACCAUUUUAGAUCCGGCAACGCCGAUCAGCGGACCGAGUUACCCUAGGGAUAACAGCGCAAUCCUCUUUUAGAGCCCAUAUCGACAAGGGGGUUUACGACCUCGAUGUUGGAUCAGGACAUCCUAAUGGUGCAGCCGCUAUUAAGGGUUCGUUUGUUCAACGAUUAAAGUCCUACGUGA